CAACAUACUAGCUUGAGCUCGGCCCUCGAAAAAGCUCGUCUUCCAUCAAGGAAAACAGGAUGUAGCUGUGAUUUGCAACAUCCCGGCGCAUAUACAGACUGCGUACGGAGUAAUUGAAAGACCAACACUCUCCGGAUAAUUGAAUGGAACAAUGAAUAGAAAAACAGCGGUCAAUGGGUUCAAUAGCAAUACUUAUUUCUGACGCCGCACAUCGCAAGCACGAGUAUGACGUUUAGGAGUACAGAAACGUUCGCACUCAGUGCAGAUCUUCGCCCGGCGCGUGGUGGCCGUUUGGCGAUUUGCAUUUUGUAAUUUUGAAUUUUUCCUUUGCCUUCGUCUUUCGAGAGGCGAGCUGAGAGAAGCGGCAUGUUCAGAAGUGGAUGCAAGUCAUAUAUUCCUGCGUCUAUCUCUGCUCUUUUGACACUAUCAUAGUUGAAUCUCAUCGCCCAAUUCCAACCACCCUGCCGGCUACAGAAUCAGAAGACACGCGAAUAUGAAGCUUACCUGGGUAUUUACUGUCCUCUUCGCGGGCAUUGUGACAGCGAGUCCGAUCAUAGGUGAAGAAAUGAGCCAAGCUAGACGGGAUAAUGCGAUGGCGCUCGAUAACCGUUGCCAAAGCAAGGAGACGCAGUGCGGAAGUGGGAAGGAUUGUGCUGAUGGAUGCUUCUGUGAUGCUGUGAGAAAUAUUUGUGUCAACAAGUAAACGGGUUGGGGCGAAAGAAAAAGGGUGUCCUGUCAGCGACGACAGCAACUUCAUUCUGAGGCACCAUAGCGGUUAGUGAUGUCUGGUCCUGUGAAUUCUUCAACAGUUAGGAGGAGAAUUCAAAACUCGGGAUAUGGGAUGAGGAAUUGGCGAUUAAAUCGAGGCUUGUGGCAGAUUUUCGUUUCGUUUCGGUUUUUUUUUUUUUUUUUUUUUUUUUUUUUUUUUUGGCCCAGUGUACUAUUUACUAUCCAUGAUCAUUCAUUCUUAUGUCCUCAGAUCAGCUCGUUAGAAAAAGAUAAUAGUAACAAGAAUAAUAAGAAUAGAAAUAACAAUGUA
rnacentral:sRNA from 1 species